UGCUUUAUAGCUCAGUGGUAGAGUAUGCAUGAGACCUAGGUUCAAUUCCUAGUUAUUUAA
rnacentral:tRNA from 1 species